rnacentral:rRNA from 1 species
AGUGAACGCUGGCGGUAGGCCUAACACAUGCCAGUCGAACGGCAGCACAGUAAGAGCUUGCUCUUACGGGUGGCGAGUGGCGGACGGGUGAGGAAUACAUCGGAAUCUACUUUUUCGUGGGGGAUAACGUAGGGAAACUUACGCUAAUACCGCAUACGACCUACGGGUGAAAGCAGGGGAUCUUCGGACCUUGCGCGAUUGAAUGAGCCGAUGUCGGAUUAGCUAGUUGGCGGGGUAAAGGCCCACCAAGGCGACGAUCCGUAGCUGGUCUGAGAGGAUGAUCCGCCACAAUGGAACUGAGACAAGGUCCAGACUCCUAAGGGAGGCAGCAGUGGGGAAUAUUGGACAAUGGGCGCAAGCCUGAUCCAGCCAUACCGCGUGGGUGAAGAAGGCCUUCGGGUUGUAAAGCCCUUUUGUUGGGAAAGAAAAGCAGCAGGUUAAUACCCCGCUGUUCUGACGGUACCCAAAGAAUAAGCACCGGCUAACUUCGUG